ensembl:lncRNA
GGCCGACCAAGUUCUGCCCAUGCCCAAGUCUACCGACACAGCCGACCAAGCUCAGCUCAAGCCCAAGUCUACUGACAUGGCCCACCAAGCUCAGCUCAAGCCCAAGUCUACUGACCCAGCUUCCCGAGCUCCGCUCAAGCCCAAGUCUACCGACACGGCCGACCAAGAUCCGCUCAAGCCCGAGGUUAACCUGGUGAACUCAGUGCCCCCUUAUGAGGUCAUCUCCCACCCUCCCUCCCCUGUAAUGGAUCUCGUUCGGCCUGCCCACUCUGCUGAGGACGCUGCUUGGCACUCCUGUUCAGCCAAGAGCGUCGCUCAGCACUCCUGCACCACUGGGUACGGCGCUCUGUUUCCCUGCUCGGCUGAGGUCAUUGCUCUGCCUUCCUGCUCGGCCGAGGUCGUCUCUAUGCCAUCCUGCUUCGCAGAGGACGUCGCUCUGCCUCUAUGUUCCACUGAAGACGUUGUUCCUCUUCGUUGCUGCUCGCCGUGUGUCACUCCCCCUUCCUGCUCCAUGGAGGACUUUGUUCCCUCCUCCUGCUUCGCGGAGAGCUUCGUUCCUCCCUUUGGCCUCGCGGAGACCCACGCUCCUCUCCCUGGCCUCGCGGAGACCCACACUCCUCUCCCUGGCCUUGCAGGGGACCUCGCUUCGCUUUCCUGCACUGCUGAGUACAGCGCUCUGUUUCCCUGCUCUGCCGAGGACUUCGCUUGGCCUGCCUGCUCGGCUGUGGUCAUCACUCUGCCUUCCUGUUUCGUCGGGGACGUCGCUCCGCUUUCCUGUUCCGCCACGGAUGUCACUAUGCUUUCCUGCUCUGCUGUGAACGUCGCUCUGCUUUCAUGCUCCGCCGAGGAAGUCGCUCUGCUUUCCUGCUCUGCCGUGUACGUCACUCUGCUUUUUUGUUUUGCCAAGAACGCUGUGCGGUUUCCUGGCUCUGCUUGGGACAUUCUGCCCAGGGGGCCGGGGCCGCCAAUGGAGAUGGAUGUCUCAUGGCACUCCGGGAGGUAUGCCCUUGGUGGGAGUUCUGUCACAAUUUCC